rnacentral:rRNA from 1 species
GACGAACGCUGGCGGCGUGCUUAACACAUGCAAGUCGAACGGUAAGGCCCCUUCGGGGGUACACGAGUGGCGAACGGGUGAGUAACACGUGGGUGAUCUGCCCUGCACUCUGGGAUAAGCCUGGGAAACUGGGUCUAAUACCGGAUAUGAGCUCCUGUCGCAUGGCGGGGGUUGGAAAGGUUUACUGGUGCAGGAUGGGCCCGCGGCCUAUCAGCUUGUUGGUGGGGUAAUGGCCUACCAAGGCGACGACGGGUAGCCGGCCUGAGAGGGCGACCGGCCACACUGGGACUGAGAGACGGCCCAGACUCCUACGGGAGGCAGCAGUGGGGAAUAUUGCACAAUGGGCGAAAGCCUGAUGCAGCGACGCCGCGUGAGGGAUGACGGCCUUCGGGUUGUGAACCUCUUUCAGCAGGGACGAAGCGAGAGUGACGGUACCUGCAGAAGAAGCACCGGCCAACUACGUGCCAGCCGCCGCGGUAA